UACAGAGACUGCAAGCGUUAUUCGGAUUCACUGGGCGUAAAGGGUGCGCAGGCGGCCGAGUGUGUUAGAUGUGAAAUCCCGGGGCUCAACCCCCGGAACUGCGUCUAAAACUACUUGGCUAGAGUAUUGGAGAGGGUAUCGGAAUUCACGGUGUAGCAGUGAAAUGCGUAGAUAUCUGGAGGAACACCGGUGGCGAAGGCGGCAUCCUGGACCAACACUGACACUGAGGAGCGAAAGCCAGGGGAGCAAACGGG
rnacentral:rRNA from 1 species